rnacentral:lncRNA from 1 species
UCCACUGCUUGAUUGAUCGAAGAGGCCAUCGGAGUCUAUACUCCCCCAAUCUUCUUGUGAUGUCAAUGAUCCUUCAGCCGGUUCCACCAUACUCAUUAGGUUCGGUUCUUCUUCUAAUUCAAAAUAAUCUACCUUUAUGCUGCUAUCUUCAUCUGAAAGGACUCCUAAUCCAUGCUCUGGUUGUUCAAUUGACAAUCUAGGUUUCGUUUCUGAUUCACCCUUGGUUGCGUCUCCAUUCUCCGAUUCGCCCUCACUGCUGUUCACAGCAGCUCCUUGGCCACAACACUCUCCUUCCUCUACCGGCUUCUUCAUCAGAUCAUUUAGCUUCUGCAACUGUCAGAUUUUGGAAAACCCUUCGUUAGUACUAUGCACGCAAAUGUUUCUUUUCUUCCCCUCUACUACCAGUAGAGAACAAAAAACUGAAGAUGAAUAUGGUGUAUAUCAAGUACCUG